UGCAUUAAUUGUAACUUCAAGACAUACAGAAUAUGAAAUUGUAACUUCAACACAUACAGAAUAUGAAAGAAAACGCAGCUGAUGAUUUUUGAAAUGGGAGUCAAAUUCAUUGUGAUAUUAUCCCUGGAGAUGUAGCAGAAGAUAAAAUGCGGUUUGUAUAUUAUGAGAUGUAAAAUAUAAGAAUAAUGACAGCAAUGAAAAAUGACCUAACACUAGACAUUGCGUGAAUAUGAGCCGUAAUCGAAUCUCUUUACGAAGCGUGACAGUCUAUUUUGAAAAUUCAACAGUAGUGGAGAAUGUUCACUGACUUCAUUGAAGACAAGGUCAUCAAGAACACUCCUACCAAAACCAUUACUAUAGGAUGUGUGGGAGAUGCUCUCAAAAGCAGUCGUUCUUCAACAUCUAGAGAGGAGAAGAAUUUCCAAUUUAUUUAGGAGCUGUUCUCUCGAAAUCCACAAAUACUUCAGGCACUAUGGAACGUCGUUCAUACCUUCCACACUAAAAGUUGUUUUAAAGAAUUAACCUAGAAACAUCGUUAUUGCCAACAACUGUAAGCGAAAAAUUGUGAUCAUUGAAUGGAAUUCAGAGAGGCAUCUGACUGUUCGCAGGUGUUUGACAAUGCCAUUUAGAGUGACGAAGCCGUCUUCUAUAUUGGAGGAUUUGUGAACCGCUACAAUUGUCGCUACUGGACACUAGAAUAUUCUAUACCACUGUUGAAAAUAUACAAAAUCGGUUCGAAGUCACAAUAGAGUUCGACGCGACUUUCAGUUAAGUUACGAAGUGAUUUUUCAUUCGGGACAGAAUGCAUGCAAAUCGUUACCUAAUAAUUCCUUAAGAUUAUAUGUAACUUAUUAUCCCCAUUUGUUAGAAUUACAUCGAUUUCAUGCGCACUGGUCGUGAGUGGCUAGACCCCCAGUCAGAGGAAUGCUGACCUUGUCGUCGGGAUCCACAUGAAUCGUUAGUAAGAAAUCCUGAUCUCCCCUCAUGUCGCCUUUUUCCAGUGGGGCUGAGUGAAGGAAGAACAUACGAAGGCUAAAACUUUGGCUUAGUUAAGUGAAUGCUUUCGGCGUGUUCUGGAGCACAUAUUACUUGAGUUCUGGCAACAGUUGAAAAUAUUCCUGGUGCAUGUUGAAUUUUGAUGCUGAUACAUAUGUGAAGUUUUAACACAGAGAUGACUUUAUACCGUUAUAUUGUCUCAUUUAAAAAUGUCUUCCAGUAACUCGAACAAAUAUUAGUAUAGUUAUUAAUUAUUUUAAUAGGGAAUUAUUCUUUUAACAUCUAACCACUUUACCACUGAACGAGGCUGUUUUUUGCUAUAAUUAGUAAUUUAUCGCCCAAAAAUUAAUUAACUAACUAAAGCAGCACUCAGUCUAGUAAAAUCAAUUAAAGGUUUAAUAUUGUAUGGUUUUCUGAGGUUGUUGAGAGUUGCUUGCGCUGUGUGAAAUUGAGUUAUCUACCAAACGAGCAUACUUGAUGUAAGUGAAAUAAAAGGUUUUUAAUUUGUG